GCUGGAGUGGUGAAACUGGUAGACGCACUGGAUUCAAAAUCCAGCGGGGGCAACUCCAUGAGGGUUCGACUCCCUCCUCCAGCA
rnacentral:tRNA from 1 species